rnacentral:rRNA from 1 species
CAGUAGCCACGGUAAUACGAAGGGGGCUAGCGUUGUUCGGAAUUACUGGGCGUAAAGCGCACGUAGGCGGAUAUUUAAGUCAGGGGUGAAAUCCCGCAGCUCAACUGCGGAACUGCCUUUGAUACUGGGUAUCUUGAGUAUGGAAGAGGUUAGUGGAAUUGCGAGUGUAGAGGUGAAAUUCGUAGAUAUUCGCAGGAACACCAGUGGCGAAGGCGGCUAACUGGUCCAUAACUGACGCUGAGGUGCGAAAGCGUGGGGAGCAAACAGGAUUAGAUACCCCCGUAGUCCCUGUCUCUUAUAC